UGGGGAGUAUUGGACAAUGGGCGAAAGCCUGAUCCAGCCAUGCCGCAUGAGUGAAGAAGGCCUUUGGGUUGUAAAGCUCUUCUAGUGAGGAAGAUAAUGACGGUACUCACAGAAGAAGUCCUGGCUAACUCCGUGCCAGCAGCCGCGGUAAUACGGAGAGGGCUAGCGUUAUUCGGAAUUAUUGGGCGUAAAGGGCGCGUAGGCUGGUUAGUAAGUUAAAAGUGAAAUCCCGAGGCUUAACCUUGGAACUGCUUUUAAAACUGCUAACCUAGAGAUUGAAAGAGGAUAGAGGAAUUCCUAGUGUAGAGGUGAAAUUCGUAAAUAUUAGGAGGAACACCAGUGGCGAAGGCGUCUAUCUGGUUCAAAUCUGACGCUGAGGCGCGAAGGCGUGGGGAGCAAACA
rnacentral:rRNA from 1 species